UGGAGUAUAGCCAAGUGGUAAGGCAUCGGCCUUUGAUGCCGAGAAACAAAGGUUCGAAUCCUUUUACUCCAG
rnacentral:ncRNA from 14 species